UCGUUUCUAUAGCAACAGCUGGUUCACUUUAAAAAACACGUCUUUGUUACUCCUUUCUCGUUCUCACCGUGCUUUAUACCCCUUUCCUUUCUUACCAUCUUUAUUUUCCAUCCUCUUUUUUCUUCAACUUUAUUUCUUAUCUUUUCCAUUUUUGUUCUUUAUGUCUCCUUUCUCACUUUAUGCUCUAUUUUCUUUGUCUGUUUUUCUUUUCAUCCCUUCUCUGAUAAACUCAUGUGAGCAGAGCUGAUGGAGGGGCCGAAGGGAGGAGCUCAUGGAAGGGCGAAAGGAGGGGCUGAUGGAGGGGCUGAUGGAGGGGCUGAUGGAGGAGCUGAUGGAGGAGCUGAUUAGAGCCUCAGAGUGUAGAUGAAUGUGGACUAAACUUCCAUGUACUGUAUGUAUCAAGAAGCAAAAGUUUCUUUAGGAGACAACACACACUGUACCUCUCAACACACACACACACACACACACACACACACACACACACACACACACACACACACACACACACACACACACACACACACACACACACACACACACACACACACACACACUGUGGGAGUCAACAGGGAGUGAGUGCAUAUCAUCUGUCUCUUGACACUGUGUGUGUGUGUGUGUGAGAGAGAGAGAGAGAGAGAGAGAGAGAGAGUGAAUUUUGCUGAAUAAGGAUUGCAGUAGUGCUGACUGCUACCUCAUGCUGUCUGAACUGUUCAUCUUCAUAUGACUGAAGGUUAGAGAUAAAUCCAGUGUAACUCCACAUCGACUCCAGAAGAACAACCAGAACCUUCUUCACUCCAGAACAAACAGAACCUUCUUCACUCCAGAAGAACAACCAGAACCUUCUUCACUCCAGAACAAACAGAACCUUCUUCACUCCAGAAGAACAACCAGAACCUUCUUCACUCCAGAACAAACAGAACCUUCUUCACUCCAGAAGAACAACCAGAACCUUCUUCACUCCAGAACAAACAGAACCUUACCUGAACAGAUCAUACAUGCAGAUAUUCUGAUGUUAAAGCCAACACCUUUCUGUUACAGAACACACUUCAUACGUGUCGCGUCAUGAAGCAGAAACAUUAUCACAAUCUCACCAAAAACCUGAGCUGGUGAGAAACAGAAUUCCACAGCGCUGUGACGUGUAACACUCUUUAAAGUUACACAACCUCGACUCCCCAUGACUUUAAGCCCCAGACCCAUCACACCUCAACAACCAACCUCAAAACAACCACCACACAAAGCCCCAUAAAUCCCAACCCCCACAACCUCACCAACACAACGGACCUUCUACACUGCGACUGACCAAAGCUAAUACUCGUGUUGAGGAACGUCCUCAGGAGACAUUUAGCACAUCAUCAGAACCUUCUAAUAUUUUCUGUGUAACACAAAGAUUUAGAUUUUCUCACCAAAGACAUUUACUAAAAAGGUGCAUCCC